GGAGAUGUAACUCAGUGGUAGAGCACAUGUUUAGCAUGCCCAAGGUCCUGGGUUCAAUUCCCAGUACCUCCA
rnacentral:tRNA from 1 species